CCUACGGGAGGCAGCAGUGGGGAAUAUUGGACAAUGGGGGCAACCCUGAUCCAGCCAUGCCGCGUGUGUGAAGAAGGCCCUCGGGUUGUAAAGCACUUUCAGUGAGGAAGAACGCCUGGUGGUUAAUACCCAUCAGGAAAGACAUCACUCACAGAAGAAGCACCGGCUAACUCCGUGCCAGCAGCCGCGGUAAUACGGAGGGUGCGAGCGUUAAUCGGAAUUACUGGGCGUAAAGCGCGCGUAGGUGGCUUGAUAAGCCGGUUGUGAAAGCCCCGGGCUCAACCUGGGAACGGCAUCCGGAACUGUCAAGCUAGAGUGCAGGAGAGGAAGGUAGAAUUCCCGGUGUAGCGGUGAAAUGCGUAGAGAUCGGGAGGAAUACCAGUGGCGAAGGCGGCCUUCUGGACUGACACUGACACUGAGGUGCGAAAGCGUGGGUAGCAAAUAGGAUUAGAUACCCUAGUAGUC
rnacentral:rRNA from 1 species